rnacentral:rRNA from 1 species
UUCUUGUCCAUGAUAGGAGAAGAUAAAAAGUUUCUAAACAAAGGUCUUCCAUAGGCGACCCUGGGAAAAUGAAUCCAUUAUUGAAAUGAAAACCGGACUGGGGUGGUAAACGGCCCUUUUUUAUGGGGGGCAUUGUGCACGCAUUUUUUUUUCUUCCGCCACACACCUGUGAAAUUUUGGGAGACGUGUAUCCCUUUGGGGGACCCUCCGUUUGCAACACAUAAACUUCUUAUAUAUAAAUUGGAAUUAAUUGAUGUAACGCAUUUAUAAACUAAGUUUCAUCAACGGUUUUUUGGCCUCUUGCAGCGGAGAAGAACGCAGCGAAAUGCGAUAAGAAAUGAGAAUAGCAGAAUUCAGGGAAUCAUCGAAUCUUUAAACGCCCCUUGCGCUCUUUGGUUUCCUCGUAGCAGGCCUGUGUGAGAAUCAUGAAACUUUCAAAUAAUUAUUUUGUUAAUUAGAUUGAUUUUAUUUUGGACUGGGAGGUGUGCAGAUUCACGUCUGCUCUUCUUAAAUUAUUAGGGGGAUAUCAGUAAGCUCGGUUCCACUAGGCGUGAGAAGUAUCACUCGGUGAGGACACUAUAAAAGGUGGCCGGGGUGGCAGAUGAACUGCUUAUAAUAGUCCAUUCACUUGGACAAUUUAUUUAUGAUGUGAUCUCAAAUCAGGUAGGACUACCCGCUAACUUAAGCAUAUCAAUAAGCGGAGGAAA